UGGUGUUUGCUCAUUGCUGAAGGUCCUACGGUGAUCGUAAUUUGCUUCUCUUAUUGAUAAUUGAGUAGUUGGCAAUAUUAUAACAUCUCUUUAUUCUUAAAUACCCAGUCCAGAUUACCAGUAUAAUUAAUAUUAUUAAUUUGGAAAAUAUUUUAGAAUACAUGUGUUCAUAAUAAAAUGCAUGGUGAAUUUACAAGUUCAUU
rnacentral:lncRNA from 1 species